GGGGGAGGGGAGGGGGAGGGGGAGGGUCCGGGAGAGGAGCUUCCCAUUUCAGCCUCUGGCACCAGGCUCUCCGCUGAGACCAGGCAGACGGGGAAGAGACAGAAGGAAAAAAUGCCAGGGCUCCAGCUGUACACGGAAGCUUUUCUAAAGUAGCUGGAGCUGAGAAGGUAAAGAGAAUACAGGCCUGUUGGAGCAGGGGCAUUUGGGGCUUGGAGGCAUUUCUGCAGCGUUGAUGUGUUAAAGCCUUCCUUCUCGCGGGAGCCCCGACGCAGGGCUGGGACGGCAGGUCACACUUCUUUCCCUGCCUCUUGGGAGAUAAUUCGGGCAAGGACUUCUCCACCUGGGGAGGGGAAGAGUGGGUUGUGUCCUAUCUCUUCCAGACUCCUUGCAUGCUGAAGCUGGAGGAAGCUUCUCGAUCACAGUCACCGCGUCACAGGCUGGGACCUCGGCAAACACCAUACAGGGGGAGCCGUCCGUCCAAGGCCAGGCCCAGGGUGUCAUUUCUGCGAGGCCGGUCUCUGAUCUGCCUGCAUAAAUAAAAGCCUGGAACAGAGGCUUUGUUUGUGUUUGCACGUCCUUUUGCCAUUAAAGGACACAUGUGGAGACAGGAGGCCCAGGCUGGUGAGAGCAGAGGCCCGAGGUCUGGAGCAGGGUGCAGUCGGGGUUCUCAGGCCAGAGCUCAGGUUUUAUGAUAAAGUGAACUGCAUCACCUUUACGCGGCUGCACAUUGAAUGAGGCGCGGGCUGUGGGGAUUGUUAGCACGAUGCGUGAGUCCACAGCCUGCCCGCGGCCUUCGGGACCGGGCGGCGGCCUUCCCUGCGCGGAGUUGCCCCGGGCUGGCGUGUCCUUCGUGGCUGGUGGGCAGACGGGUGUGGGCUGUGGAGAGACGCGGAGUCCUGAGCCAGGAGCGGCCCGGGCGAGUCACUACUCGCUGCUCUGGGACGACGCUGGCUGAGUCCCUUCCCUUCUCAGGCCCUUUGUUUGCCAUCAUUGCGGGGAGGGGUCAGAGGAGACCCGUGUUUCUGGAACUCUGCUGCUCGGAAGGUGAAGGAGGGCUUGGGGCUGGGGAGGCAGCUGCCACAGCUCCCCGUCCACAGCCCUGAGAGCUUUGUUCGUGUAAUACAGUACGUGGUAUGUUAGAAGAUGUUUAGAAUCGAAUCGAGUCGGAUAUUACCGUGCUGGACUUCAGGGUAAGCUUGUGUUUGCAAGAAGGAUUCCGUUACCCGCAAAGUUGAAACACCCCUGCGUCAGGUGACUUCAGAGGCCCCUGGAUCCGUGCUUCUGUUACCCCUUAAACAGUCCUGAGCAGUGCCAGAGAAGACUGGCAGCGUUCACGCUGUGAACUUAGUAUGAUUUUAGGCUAAUGGGUGGGGUUGUGUUCCUGUCUUGCUAGUUGUUUGGCAUGGGGUGUCCAGCACUGGAACUUGCUGGUUGUUGAGUUGAGCUGGGUCUUAGCGUUGAGAGAGAGAGAUCUCUCAGAGAGCUCUUGCCAACUGAUCUUACAUGGGGCCAGGAGGUCUCUGGUGGUCCAGUGUCCUGAACUCGGUUCUCCCACCUCAGAGGCUCAGGCCUGACACCGGCUGGAACACUAAGACCCUAUCCCAGCCUUCGGUUCCUCGUUUAUCUGGAGGGCAAAACAAACUCGCUUGACGGAUUGUGUGGUUCUGGUGCAGCAGCGCUGCGGGAGGAGAGCUCGCUGCUCAGGCCGUUUGCCGUCUCCAGCCAAUUCCCCUCGCUGUCCCUGGGACGUGCUUGAGCGGGGGAGGCCCGAGGCCGCCCUGGGGCAGGCGGCGGCAGCUCUGCAGAGCACGGGGCCUCUGCCACCUGUGGACGCGGCACUGACUUUGCUCACGGUUUACAGGGAGAUGUAAGAUCUGUGGCGCGUGGUGAGCCUGCGGUCUCCAGAGGGGAGAGGUUGCGCUGUUGGAGGUUAAGUGAAGUGACCGGAGGUGACGGCGGGGGGGCUGUCUGAGGGUGGGCUGACUGCCAGUCACCUUGUAUGUAAAGCCACACCCGCGAGGGCCUUGGCUAGUCGGUCUCGUUAAGGGAAAUCUGAAUUUCAAGCCGCAAGACCAAUGCUUGGGGGCAAGUCUCUGGGCCAACUCAGCCUUGACAUCUCAGGGUGGUUUCCCAGCUCUUUACUUCACUCAACAAAUAUUCAUUAAAAGCCUACCACGUGGGCUUCCCUGGCGGCGCAGUGGUUGGGAGUCCGCCUGCCGAUGCAGGGGACGCGGGUUCGCGCCCCGGUCCGGGAGGAUCCCACGUGCCGCGGAGCGGCUGGGCCCGUGAGCCGUGGCCGCUGAGCCUGCGCGUCCGGAGCCUGUGCUCCGCAACGGGAGGGGCCACAGCAGAGGGAGGCCCGCGUACCGCAAAAAAAGAGAAAAAAAAGCCUACCACAUGCCUGGCAGUGCUUGAGAAGACGGGCUACAUCCGUGAGCAAGACAGACGCCAAUUCCUGCCCUCCAGGAGCUUCCAGUCUGACGCUCGUUCGCAUUCACGGCCACUUGCUGGGGGGCCGGGGUGGGAAUUAGGACACAGAAGAGGGCAGAGCUUGGGGGCUGGUGUCAGACACCUGGCUUCAGACCCUUUGCCUGUCCCCUGGCUUAGUUCUCUCCUUAAGCAGGUUCAAGGCCCGCGGCCGUUUCCUCGGCGGUUAAAGCGGACGGUGAGAGAUGUGGUGGGUGGAUUAAGCAGGUGACCCACCUGCAGCGGGUGGGCUGGUGCCCGGACCAGAGUCAGAGCUCCGUAAGGAGGACGGCCCACUGCUGUCAGUUCUCUGCCUGCGUCCACCCCGCGGGGCUUUAGGGGUUGUGCCCUAGCCCUCUGGUUGGUUGCCAUGGGCGCCGUAUCCGUGGAGGGCCUCAGCAGGACGUGGUGCUGUCAGGCGUGGAUGCGUCCUCUGUCGCUGUCAGGCCGGCGGGUGCUGCUGUCCGGGAAGGGAGUGGUCGGCUGUCCCCAGCGCCAAUGUGCCCACCUCCCCUGGGCAGACGGCCAGGGGGCCGCCUUCACCCUCAGGGCAGCGCCCCCUCCAAGCACUUUGGCUUCUUGGUCUGGGCAGGCCGCCUGUCCUGGGUGAGAAGACCACGCUCCUCCCCCCGGUCUCCCUGCGGCAGGCCCUCUGCGGCCCUGACUGCUGAGACCCAGCGCAGUGCUGCCCUGAGCUGGCUGUGUGACCUGAAGCCGAUCACUCCACCUCUCUGGUCUCAGUGUCCUCAUUGUCAGAAUGGAGGUAGCAACGCUCAUGGCUGAGGGGCGCGUUGUCAGGCACGUCUGAUCUGGCCGACUCUCCCUUCCCUCGGUACAGCCUUCCAGCACGUUUGGCGGCCUCUGCCCACUGUGAAGCCAGAUUGGACCCUGGGAGUGUAAGAAGCACCCACUUCUGUUGGACUGAGGGUUUCUUGAAGCAGGGCCAGCUCUGUUCCUCUUUGAGGUGCCCCCUUCCUCUUCCGCAGGGCCGAGCCUGCGACAAGUGCCCGGCACACAGACGUGUGGGACAGACAUCCCACAUGGGUACAGACGGACGUGAGUGCGGAGCUGGCCCCUCUCUCCUGAUGCCCCGUUUAUUUUGUGUCAUGUAAGGACAUUGUUUCUGAAACUGUCGCUCAGAGAUCUAAAUUUAGACUUGCCAGGAGCCAUUCUGCCAGGAAUGGGUCUGAAAUAUAGUCCUCAAGGCUUGCCUUUCUUGGGCUCUCAGAGGCACCACCAAAUAGCCAAGUCGGGGCGGCGUUCAGCUCGGAGUCUUGGAGGAGGUUCUGGUUGAGCGCGGACUGCUUGUAGCACCACCCAGCUGCCUGGGAGGCCUCGCGGCCUGGUGAUCCCGCAGGCUCGCCUGGGAUCCCGUGGCUACGCCCCCAAUGUGUGUGCUUCCUAGCCUACCUGUCCUGCCCUCCUGGCCCUCGGGGCCUCCUAGAUGCUCGUCUCAAGGACUGCUGAUGACAUGGCAGCUCAGAUGCGCUUCUUGUACCUGGAGUUGAGAACUAAGGAGGUUUCUCUGCCAACACCUAGCAGGUUUUCAAAACUCGGCGCUUCAAGGGCUGCUGGGGAUUCAGAGAUGCCGUGUGGACCAGAACAUGGAAAGGUCCCAUGACUUUCAGAAGAAGAAGAAAAGUCUGAAAACCCUGAGCGUGGAAGUAGGGUCCCUACCCCCGCUCCUUUGUCCCACUUCGUAGUCUCCUGGAGGUCAUUUGGACACGAUUCCUUCUCACUUCAGACCAUGACCAGAGCAAUAAAUCACUUGCACCUGGAUAUCUGCAUGGAGUCAUCAUCUAGAAUUUCUGGCUUUAUGAAGACUUCUUCAAAAACUUGAACUAAAAGUUUAUUUUGGAGAAUGCAGUUAAUUUGAGAACUCUGAAGAUCUUUGGUUACGUGAUGGAUGAAAAUAAUUAGACUCAAAGAACUCCAUUUUCAGUUUCCUCUGAAGAAAUGAGAAGAACAGUUCACCUUUCUGGAAGUCUCUUCUGAGAACCGCCGUCCACGUGCCAUCUUGGACUCGUAAGGAAAGGACUGCAUUUGGUGGCUGCAGUGAGUUGUCAUAUGCUGGCGAUGCCACAGCAGGACCUGGUGGAAUUAGGGUGAAAAGGUCAGGCAAGCUGAGGCUGAGAAGAGUUCAGUGACGUGCACAGGGCUUCGUGCGCCUGAAUAACAGACCCCAAAUAAUAUCCCCGUCUACUGCCCAGAGCUAGUCCCCUUGCAGAAUUCUCCGCAACAUGAGCAAACUAAAACGGAGGUGUGAGCGUUAAAUCCACAGGGGCACAUUUCCACUCCAGACCAAUGGAAAAUGCUGGCGACAUCCAUUAGACCUAUCCAUCGCACAAUUAAAAAGAAAAUUAAACUGGAUCAUUAUGUCCUAAACAAAAUCAGCAAAAGGCAAGUCUCUACAUCUUUGAAAAUCUUAACAAGGGUAAGUUUUUAAAAGACAAUGGUCUCCCGUGGCAUGUAAGCCACGUGGUAGGGUAAGCACUUGAUCAUCCUAGAUGCUCUAGAUACAUAGAAUUUUCCUUCUCUCCAUGUCUGGGCAGGCUUUAUUGGAGUUUGCAAAGAGUAAGGCACACAAGCUGCUUUAAGUAAAGAAAAUGUUUGGUGGUCAAAAGAUGAAUAUGCCAGAGAUAGAAAACAGGCCUGUCACUGAGGUUUGAUGAUUUGCUCCACCAAAGCCACAGAUCUGGCUACCCUCAAAGUGGUCUGUUAAUUAGAGAGUAAAGUUUAAGGAGAGCUCAUCUAAUUCUUUGGAGGUUUAAGAUAAGCGCUUGUCAACUGGAUACCGUAAUCUAUUUCUUUGGGGGUAACUGGAAAUAUUCUUUUCACUUUUAUGUAAGAUAUGUGUUAAUAUUGGCUCUGAAGGAGCAAUUUGUAUCCAGGAUUCUCAAGGAACUCUUCUGAGACUAAUUCAUUUUGGAGAAGCAUAACUUACUUGCUUCCAUUUCGCAGAGAUUUAAAUGAGUCCUCCAGGGGAAUGUUCCUUUUCCAAGGAAGGUGUCAUACAUUGGAGGCUGAGUUCUUACUCAGCUCAGAGUCUGUUAUCCUCCUAAUGGAUACUCCUCCACUUCAUUUUGAAACAGAAGAGUGUUAAGACCCACAAUUCACGUUAAGGACAUAAAUUUUACAUAUUGAUGCCAUACUUACGUAAAAGAGGUAUCUGAUCAGUUUCUGGGGCUAAUGCCUUCACCUGACCGCCUACCACCCACUCAUCCAUCCAUCCACCAUCUGUCCACCCAUCCAUCCAUCCACCAUCUGUCCAUCCACCGUCCAUUCAUCCACUUUUCAUCCAUCCUUUGAUUCAUUCAGCAUCGGGUAAUGGUAAGUGCAUGCAUUCCGAAGCCAGUCUGGGGUGAAUCCCAGCCCUCUCACUUGCCAGUGGUGUGACCUUGGGGGAGUUCCUUAAAGUCUCUGUGCCCUAGUUUUCUCAUCUGUAAAGUGGAGAGCAUGAUAGCAUGUACUACACAAUAUUACUGUGCAGUGCCUCACACAUAACCAUUAUUCAAAUGGUUGCUGCUGUAUUAUUACUGAAGAAACAACUCAGGCCCUGAAAAGAUGAGUGACUCACCUGUAGGUAAAGGAUAACUAAAUCAGGAGUUAGAAAAUCUACUUCUUUGAUUGUUUGCUUCUUUUUUCCAGAACAUGGAGUGGAAGAGCCAAGGAAGAGGCAUCAUUAGAGGGAGGGAGUUUGAUAUAAUCUGACAAGGACUAAAUUAUUUUGGUUUAAUUUUGUCAUGAAAGCUGAGGUCUGGAAGUGGUUUUUUUCCCUAUUUUAAUUGUUGUGGUUGGUUUUCUUUUGUUUUGUUUUGUUUUGAUUGCUAAUCAUUCCCAAAGUCGCCAAAAGAAAGUCAAGAAGACUCAUUUACUUACUUACCUACUUCUCUGAUCAAUUAGACCAUAAAACUCUGAUGCACAAACAUUAUGUUUUGAUCCUAUAUGACACCCCAGUGUUAUAAGCCCAGCACUCUGGAGCUUCAGAGAGCCUGAGAAACAGGAAUAGAUGAGGAUGUUUGCAAGGAAACAGCCCAGAGACUGGUCACAGUCUGUUCUCAAGGAAGGAAAAUCCACUGAGGAAAUUUCUUGGGGCAGGACCCAGGGGAGGCUGUGAGGUCAGCCCCAGGAGACCAGGAGAAGACCAUUAGGACCCCUAGCAGAGAACUCUGCAUCUCUAUCUCCAGGGGCCUGUGGCCCAGAUGGACACACAGCUCAGCCCUGAAUGGAGGGUAGAACCAGGGGUGGAUCAGCAAAGGAGACAUGGACCCCAAGGAAAUGUUCAAGGGAAGAUGAAGCAAUAGGAGCUGCAAGAGGCUGAGGACUAGCCCCCUGAGUCACCCCCAUUCAGCCUGGGUCCCAGUAUUUACUGAGCACCUACAAUGGGCAAAACCAGGCUGGGUAUAUGGUGGGGGCUUGACCUGUGCCUCCCAGGAGAGAGGGUGCUUCUGAGGGGAACCUCAGCCCCACCUCUCACUCCCUCAGCCCCUUAGGGGUAGAGGUCUGGCCGCUCUCUACCUCCUGUCAGCCCCUCAGGUCUCCUCAGGAGGUGUCAGCCUCACCGCAGAUCGUCUGACUUUUCAACGUUUGCACUUAACCAGCAAGACAGGGUGGCUAUAAUCCAGGUCUAGAAAUGGAAUGAAAUUCAUUGACAUUUCCGGCCCUACCUUACCUGCGCCGUGUGCCCUGGUGGAGGGUGAUGCGUCAGCUAGUCUGUUUGUGCUCGGUGCCCCGGGGACCCUCUCGGGAUGGUGACGGCAGGUGGCUGAGUCCUGACCCUCAGAGAAGGGCUCAGAGAGUGGCCAUCAGUCUUCGGAGGAGCAUCUUGCAGUGAUUCUGUGCAGACGGAAGGAAGUUAUGUGAGAGAAGCAUCGAGAAACCCACGUCAGGAACCUUCCACCGGGGCUGAAGUGAGAGACUAAUGUCUUCAGGCAGAGGCAGCAGUGGGUAGUGCUGUGAACGAGUCCUUAGUCUUAGACCCCAUCUAUCCUCAGCGGAGAGCGAGAGAGUGACACAGGGGUGAUGUAAGGCGUGUACAGGGAGGUUUGGGUCUCAAGCAAAGUGGGUCCUACGCUCUGCUCUCCCCAGGCCUAUGGAAGGGGAAUGACAGGUCUCGGGGAGUCAGUUGGCAGAGGGGUCCUGGGUCUCACCUCUCCUGGACCCAGCUCUGGGGAAGGGACGACAUCCCCAAGGGGAAUGAGCCCUAUGAGAGCCUCCCAGGAUGCCCACGCAGGCCGUGGAAGAAGCUGGGAGAGACCUGGGCCUGAGGAGGUGGCAGCUACCUGUGCGCUGAGACCACACCUGGAUCUCUGGGGUUGUGGACCAGCCCCGUCCCCAGCACCUUGGCUGUGCGGAGGUCAACCCUCCUCCAACAAGGAGAGGAGGUGAGGCUGGAUCGCCAGAGAUGCAUUUUCCUCCUAAUGGGGGCUCAAAAUAGACGGUGAAUUCGGUUUUAGAAAAAUAAUGUUACAUUUCCUUCACACCUGACCUUGUGGACUGAGAUGAGAGUCGCUCGGGUAAUAGGAUGAUGGCAACGGCCAUGGCGGAGACCCUGAGAGCUGAUAUCUGUGGAGCAUUUAUGAUGGGUCUUUACCUGGAUUAACUCGUGAAUUCCUUUCAACAGUUAGGUACUACUUAGUCCCCACUUUGGAGGAAACUGGGGCACAGAGAGGGUAAGGAACCUGCUCAGAGUCACACAGGAGGAUGCAGGAUUUGACCCCGGGUCCUCUCCACAGCCCUUUAGCGGCACACUCAAUGUUCACAAACCAAGUGGUCAGAAAUUCUUCCCCAAUCUCCACCUGAAGCCUUCUCGGGGGAGUGUAAACCACUCCUUCGUGUCUGGUUCUUAACAGAAAGAGCUAAUAGUUACUCAAGCGAUCCAUAUCUUUUCUCCAUUUCCUCUUGUUCAAGCCAAAUGACCUGAGUUGCCUCAGCCUCUCCGCAGAGUGGCUGUGACCCGAGGCUGUUCAGCUGUUUCUGCUGUGCUCACUGCUUUGGUGUCUGAGCCUGAAUUGGAGCAAAGGGACAGAUCACUCCCGUGGUCUCCCACGGUCCCGGCCUGAGCCUGCGGUGCUUUUAUGAAGAUGCCCUAAGUCUUUCUCCAAGUCUUCUGGGAAACAAGCUAUUUGGCCUUACGGAUGCGGCCCAUUGCCAGGCCUGUUCUCUGUCUAUCUAAAUUAUGAUGGCAGAGAAGAUAAAAAUACAAAGACCAAAAAGUCAUUUUUCUCCCCCCAAAACCCCACAAUUCUUUGAGCCUUUCAUUUUCUUCUGCUUUUUUUUUUGCUGAUAACAAUGAAUAAUGUUUUCUGCCUCUGCUUUUAUUGGCUUAGAGUUUGGGGUUAUAAGAAUGUAAACGUUUCCCAAAGGAGAAAUACAUUUGGGGGGAUUAACUAGAUUGUUUCUUUUAUUUUUAAAAUUUUAGUUAUAAAAGGAAGAAAGAAUCUGCUGAACUAAACUAAGUCAUGGCCCCAAACAGGAACUAGAGAGCAGAGACCGCCAUUCAUUUGGGUCGGUCAACUGUGGGGGUCCCAUUUUAGUUGGCCUGCCUUAAACACUUCUAUUUUAAAUCCAAUGAUAGUCAUCUUUAAACAUAUUCAUAUUUGGGUCAGAUCACGUGAUGAAUAAACCUGAUUUUGUUCAGCAUUUUAUUCCUUUAACUGACCGUACUACCUGACUUCCACACCAACUCUUCAAUGUGGGUAUAUUUAGCAAAUGGCUAUUACCUUUUCCUCAUCCCCUAUUUUCCCCUCGAGUCCCUUAUAAGCCGUCAUUUACCCUCACCCCUCUAUUGAAACUGUGCUCGUAGAAAUCAGCAAAAACUUCCUUUAGGUCAAAUGGAAAGAACUCGAGAUCUCUUCUGUUGCUCUACCUGAGCCCGUCAGCCCUGUUACCCCUUCUCCUUCAAGGCUCCUCAGUCCUCGGCCUCUCUGAUACCAUGUGAUCAUUCCUUCUCUGGGGAAGCUUCCAUCCCCCCUGGAGCAUCCUCCAAGGCUUGGCACCCAUCUCUAGACGUCAUUUUCUCUGUGUUAAUAUUGGCUUACGCUCCUAUCUUCAGCUGUCAACAUUAUGUAUGUCAUUCCCAGGUCCACAUCUCCCACGCCGCGUCUCUGAGCUCCCAGCCAGCAUCUCCAUCAGCUUCUGAACAAUUUCAUUUGUUAAUUUGCUUUACUCUGGCACCUGAAACUCAGCAGACCACCUGCCCAAAUCAUCUUCCCUCUAAGUUCACUCUUCGUGAAUUCUCUCCCAGCAGCACUAUCAUUUCAUCUCUGAAUCAGUGGUCCUUGUAGACUCCUUUCUCCAGACUUUAAGCUCCAAGCAGAGCAGAGGUUGUUCCCACCGUUUCCACCGCCUCCCUGGAGCCUGGCACAGUGCUUGGUACCUAGUAGGAACUCAGUACAUAUUUGCUGAAUGAUUGAAUGAAUUUUCUCUUUCAUUCCCUCAGUCAUCAAACAAAUUAACCCAUCAACCAAUCUGAAUAUAUGUAGCUUUGGGGGGCUGUGUAGGGCACCUGUUGAGAGUGGGUGCUCUUGGGCUGGACUGCCAGGUUUAAAUCUUUGCCUCAGCUGCUUCCUAGCUGGUGAUCUUGAGCAUGUUACUUAACCUCUCUA